UACGUAGGAGGCGAGCGUUGUCCGGAUUUACUGGGCGUAAAGCGCGCGCAGGCGGCACUUCAAGUAAGGUGUGAAAUCUCCCUGCUCAACGGGGAGGGUGCACUUUAGACUGAGGAGCUAGAGGACGGUAGAGGGGGGUGGAAUUGCUGGUGUAGCGGUGAAAUGCGUAGAGAUCAGCAGGAACACCCGUGGCGAAGGCGGCUCACUGGCCCGGUACUGACGCUGAGGUGCGAAAGCGUGGGGAGCAAACAGG
rnacentral:rRNA from 1 species